rnacentral:tRNA from 1 species
GCGAUCGUGGUGAAACUGGUAGACACGCUACUUUGAGGGGGUAGUGAGCUUUGCUUGUGCGAGUUCAAAUCUCGCCGAUCGCACCA